rnacentral:tRNA from 1 species
GUACCCAUUGUGUAGUAGUUAUCACAUACGCCUGACACGCAGAAGGUCCCAGGUUCAAAACCUGAUGGGUACA